rnacentral:tmRNA from 1 species
GAAGCAGCUAAAAGUACUGGGCUCGCCCGAACCGCCCUGCCCGUCGGGCCGGCGAGGGUUAACUUAAUAGACGACGCUACACAUGUAGAUCCAAAGGCAGCGGACUGACGGACGGGGGUUCAAAUCCCCCCGCCUCCACCA